rnacentral:rRNA from 1 species
UACGUAGGGUGCGAGCGUUAAUCGGAAUUACUGGGCGUAAAGCGUGCGCAGGCGGUUGUGCAAGACAGAGGUGAAAUCCCCGGGCUUAACCUGGGAACUGCCUUUGUGACUGCACGGCUGGAGUGUGUCAGAGGGGGGGUAGAAUUCCACGUGUAGCAGUGAAAUGCGUAGAUAUGUGGAGGAAUACCGAUGGCGAAGGCAGCCCCCUGGGAUAACACUGACGCUCAUGCGAC